AUCCAGCUGGUGAGUCCCAAAAAGGAUGAAACGCGUGUCAAAUUGGAU
rnacentral:hammerhead_ribozyme from 1 species